rnacentral:rRNA from 1 species
GGGUUGUGAGGUUAAGCGACUAAGCGUACACGGUGGAUGCCCUGGCAGUCAGAGGCGAUGAAGGACGUGCUAAUCUGCGAUAAGCGUCGGUAAGGUGAUAUGAACCGUUAUAACCGGCGAUUUCCGAAUGGGGAAACCCAGUGUGUUUCGACACACUAUCAUUAACUGAAUCCAUAGGUUAAUGAGGCGAACCGGGGGAACUGAAACAUCUAAGUACCCCGAGGAAAAGAAAUCAACCGAGAUUCCCCCAGUAGCGGCGAGCGAACGGGGAGCAGCCCAGAGCCUGAAUCAGUGUGUGUGUUAGUGGAAGCGUCUGGAAAGGCGCGCGAUACAGGGUGACAGCCCCGUACACAAAAAUGCACAUACUGUGAGCUCGAUGAGUAGGGCGGGACACGUGGUAUCCUGUCUGAAUAUGGGGGGACCAUCCUCCAAGGCUAAAUACUCCUGACUGACCGAUAGUGAACCAGUACCGUGAGGGAAAGGCGAAAAGAACCCCGGCGAGGGGAGUGAAAAAGAACCUGAAACCGUGUACGUACAAGCAGUGGGAGCCUCUUUUAUGGGGUGACUGCGUACCUUUUGUAUAAUGGGUCAGCGACUUAUAUUCUGUAGCAAGGUUAACCGAAUAGGGGAGCCGAAGGGAAACCGAGUCUUAACUGGGCGUUAAGUUGCAGGGUAUAGACCCGAAACCCGGUGAUCUAGCCAUGGGCAGGUUGAAGGUUGGGUAACACUAACUGGAGGACCGAACCGACUAAUGUUGAAAAAUUAGCGGAUGACUUGUGGCUGGGGGUGAAAGGCCAAUCAAACCGGGAGAUAGCUGGUUCUCCCCGAAAGCUAUUUAGGUAGCGCCUCGUGAAUUCAUCUCCGGGGGUAGAGCACUGUUUCGGCAAGGGGGUCAUCCCGACUUACCAACCCGAUGCAAACUGCGAAUACCGGAGAAUGUUAUCACGGGAGACACACGGCGGGUGCUAACGUCCGUCGUGAAGAGGGAAACAACCCAGACCGCCAGCUAAGGUCCCAAAGUCAUGGUUAAGUGGGAAACGAUGUGGGAAGGCCCAGACAGCCAGGAUGUUGGCUUAGAAGCAGCCAUCAUUUAAAGAAAGCGUAAUAGCUCACUGGUCGAGUCGGCCUGCGCGGAAGAUGUAACGGGGCUAAACCAUGCACCGAAGCUGCGGCAGCGACACUGUGUGUUGUUGGGUAGGGGAGCGUUCUGUAAGCCUGUGAAGGUGUACUGUGAGGUAUGCUGGAGGUAUCAGAAGUGCGAAUGCUGACAUAAGUAACGAUAAAGCGGGUGAAAAGCCCGCUCGCCGGAAGACCAAGGGUUCCUGUCCAACGUUAAUCGGGGCAGGGUGAGUCGACCCCUAAGGCGAGGCCGAAAGGCGUAGUCGAUGGGAAACAGGUUAAUAUUCCUGUACUUGGUGUUACUGCGAAGGGGGGACGGAGAAGGCUAUGUUGGCCGGGCGACGGUUGUCCCGGUUUAAGCGUGUAGGCUGGUUUUCCAGGCAAAUCCGGAAAAUCAAGGCUGAGGCGUGAUGACGAGGCACUACGGUGCUGAAGCAACAAAUGCCCUGCUUCCAGGAAAAGCCUCUAAGCAUCAGGUAACAUCAAAUCGUACCCCAAACCGACACAGGUGGUCAGGUAGAGAAUACCAAGGCGCUUGAGAGAACUCGGGUGAAGGAACUAGGCAAAAUGGUGCCGUAACUUCGGGAGAAGGCACGCUGAUAUGUAGGUGAAGUCCCUCGCGGAUGGAGCUGAAAUCAGUCGAAGAUACCAGCUGGCUGCAACUGUUUAUUAAAAACACAGCACUGUGCAAACACGAAAGUGGACGUAUACGGUGUGACGCCUGCCCGGUGCCGGAAGGUUAAUUGAUGGGGUCAGCGCAAGCGAAGCUCUUGAUCGAAGCCCCGGUAAACGGCGGCCGUAACUAUAACGGUCCUAAGGUAGCGAAAUUCCUUGUCGGGUAAGUUCCGACCUGCACGAAUGGCGUAAUGAUGGCCAGGCUGUCUCCACCCGAGACUCAGUGAAAUUGAACUCGCUGUGAAGAUGCAGUGUACCCGCGGCAAGACGGAAAGACCCCGUGAACCUUUACUAUAGCUUGACACUGAACAUUGAGCCUUGAUGUGUAGGAUAGGUGGGAGGCUUUGAAGUGUGGACGCCAGUCUGCAUGGAGCCGACCUUGAAAUACCACCCUUUAAUGUUUGAUGUUCUAACGUGGACCCGUGAUCCGGGUUGCGGACAGUGUCUGGUGGGUAGUUUGACUGGGGCGGUCUCCUCCUAAAGAGUAACGGAGGAGCACGAAGGUUGGCUAAUCCUGGUCGGACAUCAGGAGGUUAGUGCAAUGGCAUAAGCCAGCUUGACUGCGAGCGUGACGGCGCGAGCAGGUGCGAAAGCAGGUCAUAGUGAUCCGGUGGUUCUGAAUGGAAGGGCCAUCGCUCAACGGAUAAAAGGUACUCCGGGGAUAACAGGCUGAUACCGCCCAAGAGUUCAUAUCGACGGCGGUGUUUGGCACCUCGAUGUCGGCUCAUCACAUCCUGGGGCUGAAGUAGGUCCCAAGGGUAUGGCUGUUCGCCAUUUAAAGUGGUACGCGAGCUGGGUUUAGAACGUCGUGAGACAGUUCGGUCCCUAUCUGCCGUGGGCGCUGGAGAACUGAGGGGGGCUGCUCCUAGUACGAGAGGACCGGAGUGGACGCAUCACUGGUGUUCGGGUUGUCAUGCCAAUGGCACUGCCCGGUAGCUAAAUGCGGAAGAGAUAAGUGCUGAAAGCAUCUAAGCACGAAACUUGCCCCGAGAUGAGUUCUCCCUGACCCUUUAAGGGUCCUGAAGGAACGUUGAAGACGACGACGUUGAUAGGCCGGGUGUGUAAGCGCAGCGAUGCGUUGAGCUAACCGGUACUAAUGAACCGUGAGGCUUAACCUUACAACGCCGAAGGUGUUU